AAGGCACUUUGCUCCUGUCCUGUCAGCUGCCCCUGGGUCUGGGAACUACUUUUCACCUGGUGGACAAUCUCCCAGGUGAAGCUUGAGCACCCCCUGACUGUGCAGCCGCAACAAGAGGUCAAACUCAGCCGGCAUUGCAUGAAAUUUUGUUUUAGCUUGUCUAUUAUCGUAGUAGUGGUUAGUCAGGGCA